UGCCUGACUGCGUCGUUGUGUUAUCACAGAGCCUCCAGCUCUCAUCUAAACCUCCCGAGAGAAGACAGGAGGAUUAUGACAAGAGAAAGCUCCAAGAAUGUCAUCUCUGAUAGAUUUUGUGUUUGAAUGUGCUAUGCGUGCUGAUGCAGGACUUACCACCAUUGAAAGAAACAUCCUAGGAUUUGUAAAUGUCUUGGAGGUUAUAAGGAGAUCUCGUAACCCACCAAAGCAGAAAAGAACAUCAAAUAAGAACAAGAUGAGACAUCACCAGGGAGACUAGUGUGGGUGUGGCCGCGCUGGUGUGGGUGAUAACAUCAACUGCUGCCUAAUCCUAGUCAGUGGGGGGGUGCUGUUAGACUGAGGUCCAUGGUGAGGUCAGCUGUGAUCACGCGGUAAUCCUGUAGGAGAGGCCGGCAGACUGGAGGAAGU